rnacentral:lncRNA from 1 species
UAUUAAUUAUUUAUUUUUGUAUUAAAUAAUUUAUAAAAAAAAAAAAAAAAAGUAACUCUAACGGAACUUGAACAGCCGUUCGGUCUCUCAGUAAGCAAGAGCGUUACCGCUACGCCACGGAACUAUUGCUGCAACCGGUAAAAAGGUUCCUUCUACUUAAGUUACAUACAGAACUUUGAGAUCGCAAGAGGACACGUCUGAACACCAG